rnacentral:lncRNA from 1 species
CAGCAAUGGGGACAGGGACAUGGAUGGGAGAGGACAGGUUGGGUUGGGGAUGUGGAUGAGGUGGGACAGGAAUGGGACAGCACGGGGACAGGGACAAUAAAGGGAUGGGACAAUAAAGGGAUGGGACAAUAAAGGGAUGGGGACAGAGAUCGAGUGAGGAUGUGGAUGGAAUAGGACAGGAUGGAGAUGGGGACAGGGACAUGGAUGGGAUGGGACAGGGAUAGAGAUGGGGAUGGGAUGGGACAGGGAUGGGGACAUGGAUGGAACAGACAUGGGGAAGGGAUGGGACACUGCGUGAGGAAAGGGACAGGAUGGGAGCUGGGGACAGGGACAGGGAUGGGGACAGGGACGUGGAUGGCAUGGGAUGGGGAUGGGGGACAUGGGAUGGGAUGGGACAUGGAUAGAGACAGGGAUGGGGACAUGGAUGGGACAGACACAGGGAAGGGAUGGACGCUGAAUGGGGAAAGGGACAGGACGGGAGCUGGGGACAGGGACAGGGAUGGGGACAGGGACGUGGAUGGCAUGGGACAGGAUGGGAAUGGGGGACAUGGGAUGGGAUGGGAUGGGACAUGGCUAGAGACAGGGAUGGGGACAUGGAUGGGACAGACACAAGGAAGGGGUGGACAGUGCGUGGGGAACGGGACAGGACGGGAGCUGGGGACAGGGACGUGGGAUGGGGCCGGGCGGGGGCUGUCCCCACGCGGGGGUGUCCCCGCGUCCCCCAACGCCGCCGUCCUCGCAGUGCCCGGUGCUGAAGGGACGCGUGCAGAAGAUCCUGUACUGGCGGUGGGGGGAGCCGCCCCCGCCCGUGGCCGUGCCUCCCCCCGAGGGCCCCCCCGAGGGCCCCCCCAAAGUGCUGCAGGGCCGCUCGGAGCGAGAGUUCUUCGUCAAAUGGGUGGGGCUGUCCUACUGGCACUGCUCCUGGAUCAAGGAGCUGCAGGUACCGGGGG